AUUGAACGCUGGCGGCAGGCCUAACACAUGCAAGUCGAGCGAGCGGCGGACGGGUGAGUAAUGUCUGGGAAACUGCCUGAUGGAGGGGGAUAACUACUGGAAACGGUAGCUAAUACCACAUACCAUCAGAUGUGCCCAGAUGGGAUUAGCUAGUAGGUGGGGUAACGGCUCACCUAGGCGACGACCCCUAGCUGGUCUGAGAGGAUGACCCGCCACACUGGAACGGAUACACGGUCCAGAGUCCUACGGGAGGUAGCAGUGGGGAAUAUGGCACAAUGGGCGGAAGCCUGAUGCAGCCGUGCGGCGUGUGUGAAGAAGGCCUUCGGGUUGUAAAGCACUUUCAUCGGGGAGGCGUUACCCGCAGAAGAAGCACCGGCUAACUCCGUGCCAGCAGCCGCGGUAAUUC
rnacentral:rRNA from 1 species